CCUACGGGUGGCAGCAGUGAGGAAUAUUGGUCAAUGGCCGGAAGGCUGAACCAGCCAAGCAGCGUGAGGGAGGAAGGCGCAGAGCGUCGUAGACCUCUUUUGUCGGGGGAUAAAAGGCCGGACUUGUCCGGUCCUGAGGGUACCCGGAGAAAAAGCAUCGGCUAACUCCGUGCCAGCAGCCGCGGUAAUACGGAGGAUGCGAGCGUUAUCCGGAUUCAUUGGGUUUAAAGGGUGCGCAGGCGGGCCUUUAAGCCGGCGGUGAAAUCGCGGGGCUCAACCCCGCCUUGCAGUCGGAACUGGGGGCCUUGAGUGCGGCGGAGGCAUGCGGAAUGCGUGGUGUAGCGGUGAAAUGCAUAGAUAUCACGCAGAACCCCGAUUGCGAAGGCAGCUUGCCGUGCCGCCACUGACGCUGAGGCACGAAAGCGCGGGGAUCGAACAGGAUUAGAUACCCGGGUAGUC
rnacentral:rRNA from 1 species